GCUAACACGUGACAAGCAGCGGGGGGCAUACGGAGGGGGCAAGCGUGAAACGUGAGGACUGGGCGUGAAGCGCACGCAGGCGGGCUGUGAAGUCGGAUGGGAAAUCCCCUGGCGCAACCUGGGAACUGCAUUCGAAACUGGCAGGCUAGAGGCUUGUAGAGGGGGGUAGAAUUCCAGGUGUAGCGGUGAAAUGCGUAGAGAUCUGGAGGAAUACCGGUGGCGAAGGCGGCCCCCUGGACAAAGACUGACGCUCAGGUGCGAAAGCGUGGGGAGCAAACAGGAUUAGAUACCCCUGUAGUC
rnacentral:rRNA from 1 species